GAUGAACGCUGACAGAAUGCUUAACACAUGCAAGUCUACUUGAACUUCGGUUUGGGUGGCGGACGGGUGAGUAACGCGUAAAGAACUUGCCUCACAGUUAGGGACAACAUUUGGAAACGAAUGCUAAUACCUGAUAUUAUGAUUUUAGGGCAUCCUAAGAUUAUGAAAGCUAUAUGCGCUGUGAGAGAGCUUUGCGUCCCAUUAGCUAGUUGGAGAGGUAACGGCUCACCAAGGCGAUGAUGGGUAGCCGGCCUGAGAGGGUGAACGGCCACAAGGGGACUGAGACACGGCCCUUACUCCUACGGGAGGCAGCAGUGGGGAAUAUUGGACAAUGGACCAAAAGUCUGAUCCAGCAAUUCUGUGUGCACGAUGACGUUUUUCGGAAUGUAAAGUGCUUUCAGUUGGGAAGAAAAAAAUGACGGUACCAACAGAAGAAGUGACGGCUAAAUACGUGCCAGCAGCCGCGGUAAUACGUAUGUCACAAGCGUUAUCCGGAUUUAUUGGGCGUAAAGCGCGUCUAGGUGGUUAUGUAGGUCUGAUGUGAAAAUGCAGGGCUCAACUCUGUAUUGCGUUGGAAACUGCAUGACUAGAGUACUGGAGAGGUAAGCGGAACUACAAGUGUAGAGGUGAAAUUCGUAGAUAUUUGUAGGAAUGCCGAUGGGGAAGCCAGCUUACUGGACAGAUACUGACGCUAAAGCGCGAAAGCGUGGGUAGCAAACAGG
rnacentral:rRNA from 1 species